GCCUGGAGCAUGAACUCACAGUAUAGGAAUUCACAGCUGAGGUGGUGUGAUUUUUUGUUUUAGAUAGCAACAUGUUAACCACCGUUUCCACUCACAUUCACACCUGUGGUCAGUUCUGAGUGAACAGUGAACCUUAUCAGCCUCAUCUGUGUGGAUUUUGAUUAUUUAACAACUCAAAAACAAAGUAUUUACAAAUGAGAAAAAAACUGGACUGUAAACCAGUUCAUCCACAGGUUGUGAUCUAGAACCAUGUGAUGAUUAAAGGAAGUGUAUUCCAGUCUUUAAAUCAGAUAAAGGAGCUGGUUGUGAGCUGGUGUCAAAGGUCAUCCUCCUGAUGGAAACCCCACUGAAGAAGAGAGCAGACUGAGACAUGGAGGAGAUGGAGAGAAGGAGAUCCCAUCUUUUUAGUAAAAUAUUUCCUCACACCUUUUUCUCAAACCCAGACUGAGCGUGAACGUAUUUAUAUCUGAUUUAAUCCCGUCGUGCUCAUUUGAACCUUUGACCUUGACUUCACGCGGCUCCUUGUAUUUGAACUUUGAUUCUUAUCUCUUCUGAAGCAUGAACGUCUCCGUCUCUGCAGCUGUUACAUCGUCAAGAGAACAUCUCCAUCCUGUCCUGGCUUGAACGCUUGCUCCGCGCCGCCCACGGUUCUCUGGAAAUAGACAAAUAACCCACGGGGAGCCUGACACAUUUAGAGCUCUGCACCUUGGAAAAGAACCCACGGUGGAAGUGCAAUUAUAACACCAAACACUGAGAGAGGAACCUGAGGAGGAGGUGAUUAGAUGGAGGAUGAAAAAAUGAAACACUCUCUUAAUGAAAUGUCAGAAAUAACACAGUCUUUUUUCACAGACAUGAACAUCGUGAAGGAGUCUCCAGUCCUAGUGCCUCCUACUGGAGCAGUUCCAGACUGAAUAAACCUGAUUAUCAUCAUUUCAACUCUUUGUUUUACACUCGUUUUUGCAAAUGCACAGAGAAUGUUGUCUGUUCAUCUUCUGCCCAGUAAAGACCGACGUCAGGAUCAGGGUCCAAUCAAAUCCAUCCAUUUAUUCAUUCUCUACAUCUGAGACCUGAUCCAGGAGACGUGGGAUGACGGUCUUAAGGACACCGAAGUAACAAGUUGUAUCUUCUCAGAAAAGUAAGUUCCCACCAAUGAAAGCAUGGUCUUUUAAGGACAUGUAGAUAAUUUAUAGGUGAUUGUCUGAAAUAAAUGAUAAUAAUAAAAAUUCAAUAGCUACUACCAUGAUACUGCAGUCUAAAUACUACCUCUCUGACUGCUUCAGAACAUACUUCCAGAACUUGACAUUUCACAGUUGGUUCCUGAUUUAUUGUCAGCUGUAACAUUGAGGCUGACUGAGCUGCAGUUGUACCUGAAAUAAAAACUAUUUUCUGAUAUCACAUCACACAGCAAACGCAGUACAGUGUACAAUGACGUGGGCAGGUUAGAGCUGGUACGCAGUGUAAUUAUAUAGUGCUCAGCCAGAGAGAGAUUCAACAGACGGGUGCAGACAGCAACAUUUAAACGCUGUUUUAAGUGUGUUGUUGUCAUGGCGACCAAACUACCGGACCACCUCUGAAAUUCACUUUCAUAUUAAAAUUGCUGUGGCUUUUGUUAUUUUUCUCUCUUUAUUUCCGUGGCUGUCGUUGUCCUCCUCCACCUCACUGUUCACCUCCUUCUUUUCACCUCCCUCCUGCGUGUCCUCGUCUCACCGUCUGAAACAUCAGUCAUCAAAAUAAAUUCCAAAACUCUCUUCACCAGCGUCUCCUUCUCUGCUUCUCUUUGUGCGUCUUCCUCCCUUUCCUCCUCCAGCUGUGCCCUCAUCCGUGUCUUAAUGUCAUGUUUUGAUGCAGUCGGGGUAAAGGGAGUGGGGGUGAGGCAGGGGGGAGAUCGUGCCACAUGCAGACAGCCCUCCUCUACGUUUCCAAAUCAAAUGUUUUACUGUUGUUCUCCAGGGAUGUGGCUUCAGGUCUAAUCUGUGAGAGAGUAUCAGAGAGGAGGAGAGGACGCAGCAGCGCAGGAGCAGCAGAGUACUUUGAUUGCACUGACCUUUCUUUUUUAACACAGUCUGCUGCCACAGAGGGGACACAGACGUACAACAGGUGAGGAGGGAGGAACGGACAGACAAAGUUAAGAGGUAGCCACGAUGGUUGUAUCAAUGUGAGCGACGUUGCCACAGCGAUUGGUGAAUGACGGACCGUCUUUGUGACUCAAUCUAGGAGAACUUGAAACAGAAUCACUGCAGAAACAAAACCAAACAAAGAAAACAACAGGAAGUUUACUUGUACUUCUUCAUACCUCUGUACAUCACUACAAACAGUUAGAGCCCAGAACCUCAGUCAGACUGAUGGUUGAAGGGAAAGGAGACCAGUGAUGGCUGUUGGACCAGGGUGAGUUCUGAUGUUACACAACAAGAGAGGAGAAAGAUGUCAAGGUCCAGACUAAUUACUGAACACGAUACUGACACUGAGCUAGGUUUGUGUGGAAGUGUGUGUGUGUGUGUGUGUGUGUGUGUACACAGCCUUACGGAGUACGGAGGAUUUAUCUAUGACCUGCAGAUGUCUUGUUGUACAACCAACACAAACGCGCGCAGGAACACACGUUAUUUGUUAGACACAGUGCGCUGCCUCGUCUUUAACCAUAACUGUUCAAGGACAAAGUGUCCCCACAAGUAUAGCUGCACCAGAAACACACACAAUGUCUUAGGAACAGAGGCUCACACGUUCACACAGACAGUGUCAGAGAGAGGAGGUCCAGAGUGAGGCCGACACACACACAGCACAACAACAAUUAGAGAAGAGUGUCUUUUCACAGACACAUCAGCCAAAUGUCAGGGCUUACGUAAAAUGUGCGAGGAAUGCUGUGACACAACAAUCCACUACAGACUUUCUCUUUUUCUGAAGUUAAAAAGUUUGCAGAAGCUGAACGACGUCCCAGAGCUCAGCUGUGAGAGCAGGGCCAUAGAGAGGAGGUGAUGACGGUGGUACUGUAAGGAGGGAAGAGGGGGUGGGGGGGUCGGGGGGUCCAGUGAACGGACAGAAAGAAGAACAUGUGAUGUCCAGAGGGUGGACAGGAGAUGGAUGGAAUUGCUCAGUUUUGCAGCCUGUGUCCUGGUGGUCCGAGGAUCAGUCUUCUGAUUGGAGGAUCGCUGGUUUGAUUACUGUUGUUAAGCAAACAACAAAAGUCUACACAGCUCUUCAGUACAGCCCACUGCUCCUGUUUACCAGACAGGUUAAAGGCAGAGGACGCAUUUUCUCUAGAAGACGUUUCGUCUCUCAUCCAAGAGCCUUCUUCAGCAGAGCACAGUAACUUCCUGGAAGAGUGAAGCAUGGAUGGAUUUGUUUCCAGUUCUGAUGCAGCACUUGCCUGUUUGGCUGUGACUUCACCAUCAUGAGUCAAAAGUGGUCAGCUCUCUACAUGACCACCCGUAAAUCAGGUUUCCUCACAACCUUGAGACAUCUCCAUAAACAGGCUCCAUUUUAUACACGUAUUUUUUAGAAGACACCUCUAACAUGACAGCUGUUUGUCCAAGCACAACUCUGCCAGUCUGGGGAUUCAAACUAGCAACCUUUAGACUAAAAGCUGACCAUAACCUUUAUCAGGGGAAGCCAGCAAUGACAAAUAUCGCAAACUCCAAAUGGGUCCACAGCGGCCCCCUGCAUUGGCUGGAGGAGAUGACGAGGGGAGGAGCGAAGGAAACAGGGAAAAGAGCAGCGUGAGGAGAGACACCGAGUCACACAGCAGGACAGGAAGUCUUAGACGGAGACACCCUUCCUUCCUGUCAGCACACUGAUACCCACACUGGACACCAUUCACUCUCACAUCACAUGACACUUGUGACAAGCAGCGUGGCAGACAGGACCAUGUGUUGUGCUUCUGCAGCUGAGACAAGGCAGCACUCAGGCCUGAGUGUGGCCGAUGGAAACGUCAUUAAACAACAUUCUCAUAGUGCUGUCAUUUCUAAUGGACAGAUAUCAGUGAAGGCUUAUCCAAUGUGGGCCACAUGUUGGAAGAUGUGGUCCAGGCCCUGGUCUGACAACAGGAAGAUGACCUUUUCACUGGUUCAACGUUAACCAAAUAGAAGACAGUUGCAGUACAUCUACACACCUGUAGGAUGGCGCUGAAGGCAAAAUCAGCAGGCAGCUACACACUCCUUCAACAUUUAAAAUGCAGAUUUCAUGGUCAACACGCCUCUGAGGCAGUCUUCACGGGCCAAAACUGGGCCGGUUACAUCACAGCUCGCAGCGUGUGAUCUGUGAACAUGGAGGACAAUGGACACACACACUCACAGCACAGACCAUCGCUUCAACUAGGAGAAGAGGAGCGAGGUGGGAGGGGCUUGAAUCCAUCCAGAGCCGGAGUCACGUGAUUGGAAUAAUUUCACGCUGACUGUGCAGAAAUUGACAAUAAUUAAAUGUGAAUGGAGUCAGUGUGAGUGUGAGCUGAUGAGAUGAUCUGUUGACAAACACUGAGUCGAGAGUGGAUAACUAACUAACUAACUAACUAACUAACUAACUAACUAGUAUAGCUGCAGAUUAAUCACGAUUAGUCAUGAUUAAUCAUGCCAAACCAACAUUCCUUAACAUGAAUUUUUUUUUCUGGACAAGGACAGGGGGAUUAUUGUGAGUAAAUCCUGCAUCAUCCUGUCUUUGCUAAAUGCACUAAAUAUUAAUCUGAUUAAUUUUACUAAUUCAUUUUAAGUCAUUAAGGCAUUCAUUUUGACAGCUCUAAAAAUGUACCUUGGGGGUUCUUAAAUAUUCUUCAGUUUCUAAGAGGAAUGGUUUGAUCUUCUACUAGAAAACGUCACUCCUCCACUGCUGAUUAUGGAGCAGCAGUAAUGUGGGUCAGUAGACUGGAGAUUCCCAGUGUCACGGGAGACUUCCUCCUCCAGAGCUCCUCACAGGAUGUGAGUAAUUUCCUCAGAGCUGAGUAUCUCUCCCAAAUUCACAGAAAUCAUUUCUGCCUCCAGGGUCACGUGAAGGGCAUUGUUCACAGACGGCACUCACACAGUUUAAUGACACUCCUCUGAACAAUGAGGAAACAAGAAGAGGCCGAGGAGUGGCUGAAGGUGUAAAACACCGUGUCAGCAAAAAGACAACACCACAGUGGUUUCAGUGAAAAUGAAAGUCACUCAGCAGGCGGUGAUCCAGCUGUGGAGUGACUUCAUGUUUGUGACGACUGCACGGUGUGUGAGACACACACACACAGUGGUAUUCAGGGUGGAGCUGCUGCGUGACUUUACAGUGUAAACAGAAUUAACUGUCAGCUAAUACCAUAGACAUUUACUGAAAACCCACUUCCUGUCACUACCA